AUGCUCUCUUCCGCAGCACACACACUAAAAUUGGAACAAUACAGAAAAGAUUAGCAUGGCCCCUGUGCAAGGAUGACAUACAAAUUCAUGAAGCAUUCUGUAGUUUU